UACGGGGGGGGCAAGCGUUGUUCGGAAUUACUGGGCGUAAAGGGCUCGUAGGCGGCCAACUAAGUCAGACGUGAAAUCCCUCGGCUUAACCGGGGAACUGCGUCUGAUACUGGAUGGCUAGAGAUUGGGAGAGGGAUGCGGAAUUCCAGGUGUAGCGGUGAAAUGCGUAGAUAUCUGGAGGAACACCGGUGGCGAAGGCGGCAUCCUGGACCAACACUGACGCUGGGGAGCGAAAGCCAGGGGAGCAAACGGG
rnacentral:rRNA from 1 species